rnacentral:rRNA from 1 species
UACGUAGGGUGCAAGCGUUGUCCGGAAUUAUUGGGCGUAAAGAGCUCGUAGGCGGUUCGUCGCGUCGGCUGUGAAAACCCGGAGCUCAACUCCGGGCCUGCAGUCGAUACGGGCGGACUCGAGUUCGGCAGGGGAGACUGGAAUUCCUGGUGUAGCGGUGAAAUGCGCAGAUAUCAGGAGGAACACCGGUGGCGAAGGCGGGUCUCUGGGCCGAUACUGACGCUGAGGUGCGAAAGCGUGGGGAUCAAACAGG